GGUGGCUUAGUGGUAAAGUGCUUGCCUCCCAUGCAUGAGGUCCUGGGUUUGAUUCCUCAGCACCA
rnacentral:tRNA from 1 species